GCCAAAAAGGAUCAGAAAAUAUGAUGGCACCCACGUAAACAUAGCAAGUUAUUAUGGAAGAGACUGCGAAAUUCGGGGUCCUGGGGACACGACUGUGCCUUUUUUUACGCCGGCGCAAAUAAAUCGCCGGAGGAGGCCGUCCUGGGGGGGCGCCUGGAGAUGCUCUUACAAACAGGCACACACUUUUAUCCAUCCAUGAAUCCAGGGGCGGAGCCACGUUAUCGCUUCCGGUGUCACUGGCACCGGGUAAAGUACGUGCUUACCUUAUACAUAGUCCUGAUUUUUGGACUGGACACCGGUAAUUAUGGAAGAGACUUGCCUGCUUCCUUCCCAUGCUCCCAUCCGUGCUCCUGCCUACGUGGCUUGAUUUAAUUGGAAAAAAAUAAGACCCGGCCUCACCCCUUGAAAAUCAGGGGGGGAUGAUUAGAUUAGAAAAGAAAAAGGGAAAAGGACAGCCGUAGGAUGAAGUGGGAGCACAGAUGGGAGCAUGGAAAGGGAGCAGGCAAGCCGGAUCCAGUAAUUAUUGGAUCUGGACACCGGCCAGCCCAAACAAACACAGGCGAGGCAGUGCAGCCCAGCUAUAAAUUAAUCGAUCCUUGGUCCUGUACGUGCGCGUGUUGGAAAAAAAACUAUCAAUCCCCAUACGGCUGUACCCUACCUGUAGGUGCGCCUGUUCGGUUGCUCGCCCGCUCGGCUUCUGGGCUUCAACCCUCACAGCGCCGCUGUUCUCAGCCCUUCUCCAUCGCGAGGCCAGCCGCCGGUCCGCCGAGCCGCCGUUGUUCAAGCAUCGCUAGCCGGCCACCUCUACCCUCGCCCCACUCAGGGAUUGUUGGAAAUUUGAGGCUAGGGUCUUAAAAUUUGAAGGUAUUACAAUUGGGGACAAUUCGCUGCGAUUCAUAUAUAACUAGGGGAGGAUUAUUUUUGUGACAGCAAUGAGGCACAAUGUCGAUUGCUGCUGGAUCUCCUGCCGCAGUGGAUCCCGGGACGAAGGGGGCCCACCGUGGAGCGUGGUGAGGUUUGACCCACAUCGCGCGAGUGAGGGCCUGACGGCUUCAGGCGGAGGAGGCAGCACAGCAGCGACUGUGGC